AUCCUAAUCCCUAAAAUGCUUUUCCUAUUCUGCCAUUGUCUCUGUCGUCUCCUCCAAAGUCCAAACUACUGGUCUCCAAGUCGCCGCCGAUGAGCCGCACAGCCGCUGCUAAAUGGACGAAGACGACAGCACACGGACGAAGCUAGAAGCCGCCGCCGCCGCCGAUUCCCUGCUAAACCGACGACGAAGCUUGAAGCCGCUGCUGCCGCCGUCGCGACCCACCCCUGCGACUCUUCGAAUCCCCGCUGUCGCCACCAGUCCGCCACCGUUGCUGGAGUCUAACUAGGUACCAGAAUCCCCUCCCCCCACCCCACCCCACCCCUGCGACUCUGUUCUUUUUUUUGUUUUCUUUAGGUGGUGAGAUAUGAAUGUUAAAUGAGAUUGCUUUUGUACCAUAUUUAAAUGCUUUAAUUGGCGCUGUCAGCUUUGCACUUUGCCCAGAUUUGGGUUAGAACAUGUUGAUAUAUCUGUUCCUUAUCUUCUUGGAGUCACUGUAGUACUAUUGCUUUCUGUAUUUCCAUACUGCAUUCUCUGUGUUCGAACACUCCAGCCUAACGGGAAAAAAAAAUUGUAAUUCUUGCACUUAUGAUUGAAAGAUUGAGUUAAUUUAUAUUUAUUUUUGUCUUGAUUUUUUAAGUGAUAUAGUAAAUUUUUUAUCUCAAAAUGAUGAAAAUAUUUAUUUCUCAAAACAAUCUUUACAAGGUACAAUUAAUCACAUAAUAUGAUACAAUGUAUAAAGUAUAAACUAAUGUGUCUGUAGUAGAACCCUAGAUUUCAUAAUCAUUUUCUCACUGAUGGAGAAAUUCAGAGCUGUUCCAAAUCAAUCGCGCCAAAACUUCACCGCGAUCAGUUCCUCCUUCCUCAAAGAGGUGUAUUUGUGCGACUGGUGGCUCAUCAAAUUCCCAACGAAUUCCAAAUCCGAGCGAAUAGGAGUAGCGGGCUUCACUUUUAGAGAAACGAUUGAGCAGGGUUGAGAGAUACUUGAACUCAAGUGCCUUUCUAGUGUGACAAUUAAGUUUGGAAUGCUAGGAUGUGUAAUCCAUAAAAGAACUCAAGUUUCAGGAGCCAAGAUGCAAGAAUAUUUCACUCUGCUGCAAUUUGUAAGAGGAUUGAUGCAGUUACGCUUGAGGCAGUAGAUGGCAUUGUUAUUGUAGUUAGUGGUUGCAUCAAUAGGUCUCGCACAAUCCAAAAUGGCUUCCCAUUUGAGAUGUGCAACCAUUUUUGUGUUGGAUUUCCAUAUUACUGGGAGGAAAUUGCUGGUCAACCUUGUGAACAGUCAACAAAGAGAUAUGCUUUCCCGAGGAUUUCAUUUGAUGAAUUGAAACGGCCAUCAGCUGAAGGAAUAACUAACUCGGGUUUUACUUCAUUUGAUGAUCUGCCAGCAACUUUUCUCCGGGAUUUCUGCAUGACUAGUAAAGAUCUUCCUGCUGAGAUACCACCUAAAAACGGCAGUGUGAAUAGUGAAAUUUCAGGUCAUAAGAACAAAAGAGCUUCUAGUGAGGUUGCAAGCAGCAAUGAAGAUACAAGUCAACAAAGGAAAGAUAAAGUCAAGAAGAAGGCUGAUAGGCAAUCUCCUAAAGUAUUUGAGAGAAGCGAGGGUCGUAUUACUAGGAGUAUGACUAAGGCUAAAAUGUUUCAGGGACGAGGACGAGUUGGGAGUGAGAACUAGUGCAUUUUCUAAGUGCGGGGAAUUCAUGCAUGAUAUUACAUGGCCUCAACGAAAGUGUGGAGCUAAGAAGUCGGCAAAGGGUCCCAAGAGGCCUGGUUAUGCAGAGUGCAGACACUAGCAAAUGAGAACCAGAUGAAGCAAUCGGAGCACAUUUGCUGAAAAGCAAGCCACAAACAUCUGGAAAGAAAGUAGUAAGGGCCAACUUUUAGAAGCCUAUUAUUACAAGGAAAAUGAAUUGCGAAAAUGGCUAGUUAUGAACUUGUGCACCAUUUGGCUAUGAUAACAUGUUACUUUUUCUUCUUCCCCCAACCCCAAAGGCCCCCUAGACCCCGGCUUGACAGAGUAUUUGAGAGGAUGUAAAUUAUGGUAACUCAGUAGCUCAGAAGACAACAGGGCCAAAUGUUGGUUCGCUCAAGGAAUUUGCCCACUUUUGGGCAUAAUUCUACACUAUUGUUGCUGAGUUUUGAACCUUGGUUUUUUUCUCUCAAAUACUGCCUACUGAACCAGUGAACUAAAUUUAUGCGGCCAACAUGUUACUUUUACUUCUGUUCA